GCUUGAAGCUGAGUAGCCGGGGCCCACUUACUCUGCUUGGGAAACAUAUGACAUUUGUGGGUUAGUGAUUCAUUUCAUCUGGGACCUCAGGGUGCCCUGCCGACAUACGAUACAGCAGUCUUUGCAAGGAGCCCACGGGCAUGUCUUCAUUAAGUCCUGAGUGUCAGGAUGGCCACCCAGAAUAGAGAGCUGGGCCUGGGCAGAAUUUGGAGUUGGGUGCAUUGGCUGGAGCCCUGGGAGGCCUGGGUGCGGCUGUGCCCUGCUGGCUGCCCUGCAGGGACCGCAGACAGGGAGGCGGGCUGGAGCCGCCGCAGUGCCCUCUGCCUGCAGGAGCUUCCUUGCCCACCUAGAGCCCAGGAGAAGGCUCCUACCAGCAACGCUUGCUUCAGAUGAAACCUUACCAGGAGGGCAAAUGAACCCAACAGAUCAACACCAGUGUGCUCGGUCAAGAUGAAGAUCCUGAAGCAUAGAGAUGUCUACAGACCAUUUGCUCAAGCAGCCCUACCCCUGAAGAUGUAUUUAAAGAAUCAGACAAAUAAUUAUUUGUGUAUGGGGGACACAGCUUAGUACUAAAAGGCUAGUCAAAAAUUGCAUGUAAAUUGGAAGGAGAGUGAUUUAAAUUAAGGAGUUCAGGGGUCCUCAUAUUUGUCAGGAGGAGGAAAUAAAUUAACUUUAGGAUUUAUUAAGUGCGCAUGUUAAAAUAAGUAGCAUAAUGGCUAAAAGAAUAGGCAUAUAAUAUAUAACUGAAACAAAUGGGAGGGAGGUGGGAAAAUAAAAUGAAGAAAAGAGAUAAAAGCCCUAAAAAUCUCAAUUGCUCUUGGUAGAUGUGUUAUUGCUCAGAAAAUAUUCACUCUGUCUUCCCACCUUCCCAUGAGAGGAGUUUAGUUCCCCACUUCAUUGUUGUUGAGCUUGACUGCGUGUUUUAGCCAAUGGAAUGUGAAUAGCUGUUAACACAGGGCUUUAAAUGUCCUCGAAUAAUGUGGCUUUGUCUCAUGUGCUUCUGCCUCUGCCACCUGCCGCAGAAACCCUCGCUGCUUCAGCCUGGUCCCAAGGAGAAGUCUUAGACUAUACCCACAAUAUGGAAUAACAAAAAGAUCGGGCAGAGCUGUAGCCUCAGAUCUGAGAAUGAGAAAUACAUUUUAUUGUUGUUAAUCCUCAUCCAAGGAUAUUUUUCCAUUGA